rnacentral:pre_miRNA from 1 species
ACAACAACAUUCGGACCAUCGGUCUACCGAGCAAAUAUCGCUCGCUCGGUGGAAGAUCUUCCCUUUGUCGUUUAAG